rnacentral:rRNA from 1 species
CCUACGGUGGGCAGCAGUGAGGAAUAUUGGUCAAUGGACGAGAGUCUGAACCAGCCAAGUAGCGUGAAGGAUGACUGCCCUCUGGGUUGUAAACUUCUUUUAUAUGGGAAUAAAUUGUUCCACGUGUGGGAUUUUGUAUGUACCAUAUGAAUAAGGAUCGGCUAACUCCGUUCCAUCGGCCGCGGUAAUACGGGGGAUCCGAGCGUUAUCCGGAUUUAUUGUGUUUAAGGGGUGCGUAGGGGGGUUAUCAAGUUCGCGGUAAAAUCGUGGAGAUAAAAUCCAUCCAGCCGUUGAAACUGAUGAUCUUGAGUGGGCGAGAGGGAUGCGGAAUGCGUGGUGUAGCGGUGAAAUGCAUAGAUAUCACGCAGAACUCCGAUUGCGAAGGCAGCAUACCGGCGCCCGACUGACGCUGAAGCACGAAAGCGUGGGUAUCGAACAGGAUUAGAUACCCCUGUAGUC